rnacentral:lncRNA from 1 species
UGUUUGGGACACUUUUGAGUAAGUGUCUCAUUUAUGCUAAAACUUUAAAAAAAACAUCUACUAAUGCCUAAAUAUAAAGCCCAAUUCAACCAAGAAUAAAAGAUUACUCUACUCAACCCACCACACCCAGUCCAUUUGGCCCGAUUACAAAUAGAAAAGAAAAAGAAAAGAAAAAUCAAUUACCAUCUUUUCUUCUCUCUUCACUCAAUCCACUGAAAUUCUAGACGAAGAGCCUUUCCUGUCGUCCUCCUCUGCCACGGCAGCCAACGAGAUAGAGUUUCGGCUGUUGCUAAAUGCUUAAAUAAGUGUUGGUAAAUUAGCAGCACUCUUUUAGGUUAUAGCGACACUCUUUAACUUUCACUAUAUACCUAGCGACCCCACAUAUAGCAACAUUUUUUAAAAGUGUCGGUAAUUUUAGCUAGCAGCAUUUUUUUGACAUGUACCUACAUUUAAAAGUGUCGCUAUAGACCGUUUUUGUUGUAGUGUUCUGACCUUCUGGGGGAGGAGGAACAGGGGCGAUCGCCAUUAAUGGAGAGCUUGAGAGGGAGAGGGGAAAAGGUCAUGCGGAGGGUGUGCGAAGAAAAAGAGAGAGAGAGUCAACUCUUUUUUUUUUUUCUCUAUCCCAAUUUUUCUCGUUCUGAUAUAUCAAAGGAUCCUGAGAUAUUUGUCGGCGGACUUGGAAAGCCACUUACUGGUGAGUCCGCGAAUUAUAGUGGGGAAGAAUUAGGGUUAGGAAUUAGGUAGGAUUAAAAAGGUAUAGAGAGAGAGAGAGAGAGAGCAUGACUACUGUGCUAUUAGGAAUACAGCAGCCGCACAACGGCUACUGUGCUUCUAAAUUUUUAAUUAUCCAUCCGGUUAGGGUGAGAGAGAAAAGAGAAAUUAUAUUUAUAAUUUCUCUCAUUUAUAAUUUCUCUUUUCUCUCUCACCCUAAUCAUUCAUCAAAAUUAAUGAAUAAUUAAAAACUUAGGAACACGUAGACUACUGUGCUUCUAAUAGCACAAUAGUCAUUCUCUCUCUAUAUAUAUAGUAGGACUACUAUACUAUUAAAAGUACAGCAGCUCUUGCAUUCCUAACUAUUAGGAUUAGAGAGAGAAUAGAAAUUGAAAAAAAAUUCAAAGAGAGAGAAAUUUCUCCUCAAUUCUUUUCUCUCUCUCACCCUGACUAUCCAUCAAAAUUGCUCCUCAAUUCUCUUCAUCAAAAUUGAUCUCUUUAUAAUUAAGCUGGGUUUUAUAUUUAAAUUAGGCUAAAAAUUAAAUAAUAAAAUUCUAUAUUAUAUAUAUAUAUAUUUAUCUAUAUAAAUAUAAUACACAUAAAUUAUAUAAAUAUAUAUAUUCUAACUGUUAUCGAGUCGAACAUGAGUGGGUUAAAAAAUUUCGAUCAUAUUUGGCUCGUUUACAAAACGAACCGUUCGAUCUUGAGUUUAUUUUGAACCGAACACGCGCUGCCUCGUGAACAACGAGUUGGAUUACCACACCUAGUGGUGACAGAGUACAUUUUUUUUUCCUACUUCAAUGUUUCUUAAGAAAAAAGAGAAAACAAUUCCACAUAUAUCUUGUAAAGUAGAAAAUUACAUGUUUAGCUUUCUUAAAUUUUAAACUCUAUAAUUGUCAAACUUUAAAACUCACAAAUACAUUUCUGAAUAGAUCAAAACUUAUCAUAUAUUAAUAUAAUGAUUAUUCUGGUCUUAACAUGAUUGGUAAUACCUAUCAAUUGUUAUAUUGAGUUUAAGCUCUCUUGGUGGCUAUUUGAUCUGCUUUGAAUCUUUUCCGAAUAUUUUUUAUCUCUCUAAUUUUAUGGGAGCGAUGAAGCGAUAAGAACAAAAUAGUUUUUUUAAAAGGAAAUCCGUAUUUUUUGACUGAUUAAGAAGUAUACUUAUAAAAUAUGUACGUAGAAAUAUACAUAACAUUUUAAAAUUUUAGAAUAAUAAGCAUAAAAGACUCUAACGUAAUGGAAAUAAUAAAUAAAUAAAUAAUAAUAAAAUAUGUAUAUAAUAUAGAUAUAUAUAUAUAUAUAUAUAUAUAUAUAUUAUAUAUACUAUAUAUUAUAUAUAUUAAUUACUAUAUAUAAAACAGUAUUUCAAAUUUCGGUCUGUAGACAGACCCACUAUUUCGGCGAGAAAAAAAUUGAUUCUCUCUCUUUACGUAAUUAAUGAUUAUAAUGAAACAAACUUUUAAUUUCUCUUUAUCUCUAAAAUAGAAAAAAAAAUAUACUUAUCUAAUUUUUUACCAACGAAAGAUAUCAACUGUGAAUCUAUUAUUUUAUCAAAAUUUGUUGUAUAAUUUCUUUUUAUCUCUAAUAGAAAACAAUUCAUGUUAUCCAAAUUUUUGUCAAAAUAUCUGUGGUGUCGUAAAAUUUAAUUCAAUUCAAAUUUAAAAUUAAUUUAAAUUUUAAAAUUUGAGACUAUCAACAUAUAAACAAUAAUAAUUUAAAAGAUAGAUUCGUUCCUAUUUUCUAAAUCAUAUUUUUGAAUUAAUAUGAUUACAAUUUAUGAUCAAUUGUAAAAAAAAUAUUUUACCAAUCUAUAAAUUCAAUUCUACGACGAUUAUGAUCAAUUGGGGUAAAACUAUUGAAAAUAAAAAUGAAUGGUUGAUCAAUCUGUUAAAAAAAGCACUUCUAUCCAUUCAUUUAAAAUAAAAUUCAAAUUUGAGUUUAAAUCGUAAAUUAAAUUAAAUUUUUUGAUUUUUUUUGAUAUCCAUCUAUCCAAUAUUUUAUAUUUAAAUUUAAAUUGAUAUUGUAGAUAUUUUCUAAUAAAAUAUACAUAUAAAUUUACAAAGAUGUUUAUUCUAAAUUUUUGAAUAAAUAUGAUUUACAAUUUUUAUUGAUUAAAAAAAUUAAAAUUGUUACGUGCAUUUGCGGUACGCUCAACUAGUAUAUAUAUAUAUAUAUAGAGAGAGAGAGAGAGAGAGAGAGAGAGAGAGAGAGCAAGCUGCUGUGCUCUUAGGGAGCACGGAGGCUUUUGUGCUCCUGAGCCGUUUACGAUGAUGAGUUUCUGAAUCGACGAUCGGCUCCGUUAAACUUGAUCUAGCGUAUUUGAAGUUUCUAGAAAAAUAAUUUUUGCAAUUUUUCGACUAAUUUACCUAAUAAUCGAAAGGAUUCAAAAUUUAAUAAUUUUUAACGGGAGAAAUAAAAUUCUAUAAAAAGUGAUGAAUAUAGCACUAAAACUUUUCGAUCAGAAAUAUUGAUCUUGUUAUAGAUCAGUAUAAAAAAAUUUGUAUCAAAAUUUCAUCUUAUUUGAUAUUCUACACCGUUAAAACUUGAAAACGGCAGAUAUCAACCAUUAAAAAUUAUGAAUUUGAAUCCUUUCGAUCACUAGGUAAAUGAUAUCAAAAAAUCGCAAAAAAUUAUUUUCAGAACUUCAAUGCGCUAGAUCAAGUCUAACGGAGCCGAUCGUCGAUUCGAAAAUUCCUCAUCGAAAACGGCUCAGGACACGGAGGCCUCCGUGCUCCUGAGCACAGCAGCCUUCGCUUCUCUCUCUCUCUCUCUCUCUCUCGUUCUUCUCUGGCUCUUCUCGCUCUAUAUAUAUAUAUAUAUAUAUAUAUAUAAUUUGUAUAAUUUGAAUUGUCCUUUACGAAAUUAUUAAAUUUUGCAUCAUAAAUUAGUUCCAUAUUUUAUAUUACCCCACCAUUAGAAGCAAAGUUGAAAAGGUUGCACUGCACGGUAUGUGGCCAUGUGGGUAGUGGCAUGCACCUUUUUGACUACAUAACCUGGACCCAACCCUGAUGCAGCACCUAACUAUGUACUGCACCACUUUUAUUACUGUCACUUCAUGGCAAUUUAAUAUGUGGGGGGACCCAAAUGUUCCUCCUAGUCCUGGUCAGAGGAAUAUUACAUUGUUGAUGGGGACUCUCUACUGCACCAUUUAUUUGUGAUAGAGGAAUAUUGCGGUGGCAAUGAUAUCCUCGACAGUACAUGUUUUCUAAUGUUUCAAAAAAUAUUUUAUAUAUAUAUAUAUAUUAGAAAUAAUCACUUAUAUAUUUUUCAGUCAAGAAAAAGGAUUUGCAAGCCAACAAUUCAUAACAAAAUAGAAAAGCAAAAAUACCCACCACUUGCAAAUACUUCUUUUUGCUUCUAACUUAGAACCAAAUAAGAAUUUUUUUUUUUUUUGAGAGAUAGCCAGAUAGGUAGCACGCUACUCGCUUCGUUUGUUUCAUUUAGAAAUAAACUUAAUUGAAAAUGUGAAUCAACUAGGAUUUGAACUUGGGACCUCGGGUAUCAACCACCAAGCCUUUUGCUACUUGCUCUAGGGGCGGUCAGUCCAAAUAAGAAAAGUUGAUUAAGAUAGAAGGAUAUGUUUGAAAGGGCAAAAUAGAAACUUCGAUAGAAACUUCGUAUAGAUAACGGUUGUUCCUGACUCUAGGAGUAUAUUUGAAAGAAAGCGGAAGGUUAAGAAACUAUUUUACUCUUUCUAAUGAACUAUUUAUGGUUUUUAUCAAGCAUAAAAAUAAGAAUACUAACUAAUUCAUGAUAAUUUAGUAUUCCUCCAACCUAGAAAUCUAUAAUGAUUUCAUUACUUCACAAACACGUUUUACAACUAUCCAACGAGUUGAAUGAUAAUAAUUUGAAUAUUUUUAAUAAAAAGUACAAAGGAUUAUUGGAAUAUUGCAAACCGUAAAUUAAACGGGUUGUAGAGUGCGUUUGGUUCGUGCUAUUGUGUUAGGAUUAUUAGAGAAUUUAUAAGAAUAUUUAAAGUUACUGUAUUUGAUUCAUGCCGCAUGUAAUUGUAUUAGUAAUAUAAGAUUGCUUUUUUUCUUUUUUUUUUUUGAAAGAUAGGUAGCACGCUGCCCGCUUCGUUUAUUUCAUUUGGAAAUAAACUUAGCUAGAAAUGUAAAUCAACUAGGAUUCGAACUUAGGUCUCGGAUAUCAACCACCAAGCCCUUUAACACUUGCUCUAGGGACGGUCGGUAGUAAUAUAAGAUUGCUAAUAGCCAUUGGCUUAUGCAUAUAUAUAUCUCAGUGGGGUCCAUUGACCCUAUUGAGAUGAUGGCAAAAACCAUCUUUUGUGGACCCCACUUACGAAAAAAAAACUCUUUAGUUGGGUUUGAUUUGUAUAAAUUAACCUCUCUUUGGAGCCCAAGUUGAUCCCAAGUGGGGUCCAACAAAAUAUUUGUAUUAGACAAAAAUAUUAUAGCAAAUUUGAUAACCUGUUAACUUUUUUUUUCCCCUCUAAUUAUAAAAAAUAGAAAAAAAAAUCUUUUCCUCUAAACAUUGGCGAAUGUAUAUACAUGUCACAUCUUAGUGGAGUCCCUUAACCCCACUGAGAUGAUGUAAAAAACUAUUUUUGUGGGCCCCAUUUGGAAAAAAAAACUCUUUAGUUGAGUUUGAUUUGUAUAAAUUUCUUUGGGGUCCAAGUUGAUGUCAAAUGGGGUCCAACAAAACUUUUGUAUUAGACAAAAGUAUUAUAACGAAUCCGAUAACCCGUUUAUAUUUUUUUUUUUUUUGUUAGCAAUAGCAAAAAAACCUAGCCUCCUUUAUCCUACGUAAUUUUCCUCUUUAUCUCUCCCAAUUAUAUUGAAUCUAAUUAACAUAUUGAUCAAUAUUUUAAAGGCCAAAUCCAAUUCUAUUUAGGUGCCAAUAUAUUUCUUUUCUUCCAUUUUUUUAAUUGAAAUGCAAAAUAUAAGGUAUGUGUAUGGAUCUUUAUUUGCUUUUUUUUAAAUUGUGAAUUUGUUCUUUUUAUAUGAAAUGAAUAGAAGUUAUUUUAUAUUGUCAUUAUGGUAUAUAAAAGUACAAUAACUAAGUACAUUAGAGAUUUUUAUUUACAUGUACUUGAUAAGUAUUGUUAUUUGCGAAUUAUUAAUAUUAUUAUUUAUUUUUUUAUUUUUGUUGGCUAUUGACAUAUGAUGAUUAAUUUAAUGUUGUUUGUAAGAAACUAAUUUAUUUAUCACUAAUUUUUGCUAAUGAAUAUGGAGAAAUUUUUAGAAAGAGAAGCCCCUUCUAGUUGUUUUCAACAAAAGUCAUCUCAAACUCAAAAAAGGGAAAGUGAAAACCUAGCAGGUUUGAUUGCAAUGCGCACCAAUUUUCUUACAAGGGAAGCGAAUUUCAUCUAAAUACCUUUCCUGCUGAUCUUGUAGAUAGGAAAAGAAUAUUAGACUACCAUCCAAAUAUUCGUGAUGAAAUUAGAAGAGCAUACCUACAAAAAGUUGGUUGAGACGAAGAAGUAUAUAGUGUAUUCGCGAGUUUAUUUGCUUUCGAAGUUGGCAUUAAUUCUACCUGUUGCUAUCGCCACAGUGGAAUUAAAGAUCUUUUUCUAUGAUGAAUUUUAUAAAGAAUAAAUUGUGCCAUCAUAUGUGUUAUCAACUAAUGAACGAUUGUUCAGUGACUUAUAUAUAAAAAGAUAUAUUUGACAGUGUUUCCAAUGAGGCUAUUAUGUACCAUUUUCAGAAUAUGAAGACACGUCGAGAACAAUUGUAAAAGAAAUGAUUUUUUUUUUUUAUACAAUACUAAGAACUAGUUUAUUUUUUUAUUACUUUUUGGUUUUUUUUUUUCUUAUAUAUUAACCCCAUACGAGAAAAUCUUUAGAUCCGCCACUGCUAAUAGCAAAUGAUAUGCUCAAAAAAUAUUACAGAAAAGGAGGAUGGAUAUAUUAUAUUACUGGUUAUAGUUUAUCCUAAACUUAUGUAAAGCUACAAAUUAUCUCUCUCCACCACCCAAACCAUUUCUCACCUCUUAUUUCAAUCGUAAAGAGUACGUUCCUUUUGAUAAUUAAGUUCACAACGGAAGUAAGGAUCUACCUUGUGAUAAGAUUGAGCAAUAUACCGCCUAGAGGGGGGGACGAUAAAUGCUUGAGAAUAAAAAACAAUUCUUGGAUAGUAUUUUGAAAGCAUAUUGCGUAGUGCAUCAAUUAUGAUGCAGUUUUAUACUAUUAUGAAGGAAAAUACAAAAAAUAAGCAAGAACAGCAAAAAUUCAACUGCAGUCACAAUGAAACUAUUUAAGACAAUUCUCUUAUUCUCUUAUAGAAACUAUUCAGCUGCAGUCACAAGAAUAGAUGCUUGAGAAUAAAAAUAAUUCUCUUAGACAAUUUUUUGAAAACAUGGUGUGUAGUGCAUCAAUUAUGAUGCAGUUUUAUGCUAUAUAUUAUGCAUGAAAAUACAAGAAAUAAGCAAGAAUAGCAAAAAUUUAGUUGCAAUCACCAAGAAACUAUUUAAGACUCACAAAAACCUUAAUCAAACACCAGCACAAAAACCACAACAGUAAAUAUACAAUUGAAAUGGCGAAUGUGGUACAAGAUAUUACGUGAAACACCCUAAUUCAAGGGAGAAAAACCACCGGACAAUCAAGAACAAUUUCAUUAGGGCAAAAAUAGAGUUACAAAGGUGGUAAAGACUCUAUACCAAUACCACCGUAGUCCAACAAUGACAAAAAGGCAUGCAUCCAUGCUCCACUAACUCUUUUAUGAUAUAUCAAAAUAAAGUCACAUGCAAUCCAUACCCUGCUCAAUUCAGAGCCUCAACUACAUCCGUUAGGGUUUGGUGGUUGGUACUUGAGACCCAAGUUCGAAUCCUAGUUGAUUCACAUUUCUUGCUAAGUUUAUUUCUAAAUGAAAUAAACGAAGCGUAUAGCGUGUUACCUAUCUCUCAAAAAAAAAAAAAAAAACUACAUCCGUUAGGCAUGCCAAAUCUAUGGCCGCUCACCUCCAUGAACCUCUAAGCACCCGAAUUCUAAAGCAGUGUAUGGAGAGAUGCAGUGGGAUGAUUCCUAAUCUCUACUAUGAUGAAGCUUUCUAAUAAACUAGAGAUUUAGGAUGGGUGAUUAGAAAAGAGAACCAAAGAAUUAACAAAAAUCAGGUUAUAGUUUCUCUCUCUAGGGAGCUGCAGUUUUUGGGGAGGAAGAAGAUAGGCUUCUAGAUGAAAAGGCUCCAAAAUAGUUAAGAAAAGUUCCACCUUACCCCAGAAGAAAUGGUCUAUUUAUAUGCUAGAGCCUAAAUAGGUCAAUCCAUAAGUGACCACGUUACCGACCGUCCCUAGAGCAAGUGGCAAAGGACUUGGUGGUUGGUACCCGAGACCCAAGUUCGAAUCCUAAUUGAUUCACAUUUCCAGCUAAGUUUAUUUCUAAAUGAAAUAAACGAAGGGGGUAGCGUGCUACCUAUCUCUCUCACAAAAAAAAAAAAGAAAAAAAAGUGACCACGUUGUCAUGGACUUAGGUAAAAUCCCUUGUCAAGCCCAUACGGUGCUCAUCUUCCUUCGCAAAGUGAGCAAGCCUAUCUGUCCGCUUGCUAGCUCGGACCUAUUCGUCCUAUGACUGAGUGCAAACGAGUGAGAGUUUGGAGGAAUGUAGUAUGCUAUUACUUGAGAAUAGAAAGAGUACACUUGAGCUAUCCUAAAAGGGUGGAGGCCAUAAAUAUCUAUAGGCCAUUUAGCGCCCAAUAAAGCAAAUAGAAAGUCACCAAGUGGCACAAAGUUGCAAGCCAAAACUGGAGGCUAUGAGCUCCCAACAGCUUACAUUUGUUACGUCUUCUAGAAACCCUAAGGGACACAUGACUCUUCGGCUUCUAGCAGAUGCUUUUUAUGACUCUGCCAAAAUCUUUGGUAGCAAUCUUCUUUGGAUUUGGGAUGAUUAGUGGAAAAUUGAAAAUCCCUAACAACAUGCGAGUCAGCUGACUAGCAAGCUACUAUUAAGUUGUUUCAUUCAAGUUGAAACAACUUUCUAGUAAUCAAUUGUCUUUUUAGAAUAGUCCAUGGCAAUGUGUUUGUCGUGUUUGGAUUUGCAGCAAAAGCCAUCAGGCACGUAAACAGUCCUUCCAGAUGCAAAAGGCACACAUCAUACACCCGAAGCGAAUAGCAAUGACCUGUCAACAAUCCUAGAAGUCCACUACUAAAUAGGCAUUAGAGUAUGUAAAAUAAGCAACAAGUAUAACAACAUAUAUAAAUAUCCACUAUCUGAUAACAUCAACAUCAAAUACAUAUAUAUAUAUAUAUCAUCUCCAAUAACCAAAAUAUAAAUACAAACAAACUCAGCACUAUCCUCGUCAAAACAUCACAUCAUGCUGCUAUACAAACAUUAUCUACAGGGGCAUCCUUUAAAUGUCAUAUAUCUAGUAGAUAAUGCUACCUAGCUCGUCAUCUCCUUACCUCAAUCUGUAGUUGCAACUAGUGCUGAAGGCUUUGAAAGAGAAUCAACAAAAAAGAGCGUGAGAACUAUAAUCAAUAGUUCCUAGGGGUAAGAGUAGUAAAUGACGACCUACGCUACUAGGUCUAUCAGAGGCAAGAGUAGUAAAUGAACUGUAAAUUAGCAAGUAACAGAGAAUAAUAUGAACAAAAAAAUAAAGAACUAUCAUACCUCUAUUUGUGUUUGUGGAAAUCAAUGGAUAGUAGUCAUGUCUCUACCGGCUAGCUUAUGUCAAGAAUAGUAAACAAAUAUCAUAUGCGUCAACUAAGGAAUCUCAUAGGCAAAUCAUAAGACCCAAUCACACCGGCUAGCUUAUAGGUCUGGCCAAGCCUGCACCGCCAUAUGCCUGGUAAAUCACACUUACCUAGUCGCCUAGCCCGUAUGCGUACACCUAGCACAUCUAGUUAGCUGCCAUAGCUCCGGAGGGACACUUGUGGGACGUGACCCUACCGAGUAGCACAAUAUAUCUUAUCGUUCGUAACUGAUCUCAAUCCAACUCAAGAUAGGCUAUGGUCAUGUAAGAUGAUAAAACAGAUCAUAACAAUAUUAUCCAAGUGCCCUCAAUCAUAAUCAUAUACCAUAUGUCCCACUAUCUAUUUGUAAUCUUUUUAGCAAUUUAUAGAUUUUUUAUGUAUCACAGUAUAUCAACAAGAAUGAUAUGUAACAGGGGUUAGGACUGUCAACUCACCUAAACAUCACACCAUCUAUAUUAAGUAAUCCUAGAUAUAGAUACAUGGAUAUACAAAAAGUAAACAACUACAAAUAUAGUGAUGCUAAUAGGUAUCAAAGAAUCGUAAUAAGUAAGGAAUAGACAUAAUGAGUAGUUCACGUGUUCGACGAUAUGGAACCCACGUAAAUCAGCAUCUCCGAAGAAAAUCAAGGAGCACCAGUAUUUCACAAAAUUACGGCAAAAUCAACUACUAAGACACAGUUUUAUCAUUCUCAUUAUUGCGAAAAUCACAGCUAUAAAAAUUGCAACCGAAAUACAAUUCAUAUUUUACCUAGUGAAUGGCAUUUAUGAAUUUGUCGCGUCGAUCACGAACUCACAAAAUUAAGGUUCCUUCUUUCUCUUUCUUCCUCUCUCUAUCUCCCUCAUAUUCUCUCUCUCUCUCUCUCUUCAUGCCAAAUAAAAAAAAAAAGCCCUCAACCAAGUUUUAUAAUGUAACAAUUGCAUAUAAGUUCUCAAAAUUGCCAAAUUUUUAUUUUCAACCAAAAUCUACUAUUUCAAUGCCUGAUUCCAUGAUUCAGGCGUCCGAAACCUUCUGUUCAAGCCCUUUCAGACACCCUCUCAUUCACCCUGUCAUUCGGAAUCCAUCUCAAGAGUGCCUGAAUUACUUUCCCGUUGCCCGAUUCUUGCGCCCAAAAGUUACGACUAGCUGCUGUUAUGAACGAGUUAAUCUCUCCCUCGCAAUCGGCUUUCUUAAAAGAGAGAAACAUUACCGACGCAUACGUAGCAGUCUCUGAACUUAUUAGGUGGGGUUGUAAGGAGGCUACUGAGGGAGUCGGCAUAAAAGUGGACUUCGAAAAGGCUUACGAUAAAAUUUACUGGCCCUUUCUCUUCAGUAUUCUCCGAUGGUGGGGAUUUGAGGAGCAGUGGUGUGAAUGGAUCAAACAAUGUGUGUGCAACGCUAAGGUAGCCAUUUUAGUUAAUGGUGAGGCAACUAACUGGAUCAAAACUAAGAGAGGGAUACGACAAGGAGAUCCACUUUCACCAUUCCUGUUCCUGUUGGUGGCGGAGUGUCUUGCUAGAUUGUCCAGCACGGCAAUCUCAAACAACCUUUUCAUAGGGAUUGGCCCUUUACACGAGAGUUUAACGGCACUUACACAGUUCGCGGACGACACGUUUUUUUUCUCCGUGGCUAGAAAGCGAUAUUUGAGAAAUAUCCGACUGAUGUGGAAUCUCUUCGAGUGGGCAUCUGGGUUGAAAAUCAAUAGAGAAAAGUCCGAGCUUUACUACCUAGGACGGAUUGAGGGUAAAGCGGAGAGACUUGCGCAGUUGCUCGAGUGUAAAGUUGGCUCCCUCCCCACCACGUAUCUAGGCCUACCCCUCUCACCAAAACCCCCCACAAAGGAGGCCUGGAGAGGUGUUAUCCAGAAAGUACAGCACAGAAUAGACGGGUGGCAGGCCAAACUUCUCUCGAAAGGGGGUAGACUUAUCCUUGUCAAUGCGGUCCUCACCAAUCUGCCACUGUACUUUCUGACUGUGUUUAAGGCACCCAAAUGGGUCAUCAAGCGGCUCGAAGCACUACGCAGGGAUUUCUUUUGGAGUGGCCAAUGCGACAUCACUGGCAGGGGGUGUCUGGUUGCAUGGAAAAAUGUCUGUUUGAGCAAACGGGCAGGUGGUUUAGGCAUCCUAGAUUUAGCCGACAUGAAUACGGCUCUCCUAGUCAAAUGGUGGUGGAGAUUUCUUACUGCACCUAAUUUGCCGUGGAUCAAGCUUAUCCGAGUUUUGUACUAUCGGAGAAAAAGACCGUUGUGGGAAGGGAGGGGUUUCCGGCCGUCUUCACACUGGUGGAAGGGGGUGCUUGCCACCAAGGAUAUUUUCAAAUGGGGGACCAACUAUAUACUAGGUAAUGGGGCAUUGGUUGAUUUUUGGCUUGACAGAUGGUGUGGGGACACCACACUCCAGGCGUCCUUCCCGGAGCUGUUCACACAGCGGGGUCGAAAACCGAUCCUGGUCCGAGAUUGCUUGGGAGGUAACGAUUGGGAUUGGAGUAGGAUCUUGAGCGAGGAAACUCCUAGUACGCCGAGCCUGCGUCGCACUCUCGCAAAACUCAAAGAGAGAGUCUCUAGCUUUUGUAUUGGGCAGACUGAGGACAGGAUAGGGUGGAGAUGGGAUAAUAAUAAUACUUUCUCAGUACGAUCGGCCUACCGCAUGUUGAACAACAGGGGCACGAGAGACGGGCGGACUAGCUUGGUUUGGAGACUCCGAAUCCCACUCAAGAUCAAAGUGUUUUGUUGGCUUGUUCUUAAGAAAAGAACACUUACGGCGGUCAACCUCAGUCGGACAGGGUGGUCUGGAAGUACGACUUGUGUGCUAUGUACGGUUCAUGACGAGUCAGUGGAUCAUCUAUUCACCCAAUGCGUCUUUACCAGGUAUAUCAUGGUCGCGGGACUCGAAGAAGUUCAGCCCGGGGAUUUGGGUGAUGAUGUACUUGAAGUCUGGGAUAGGUGGAGGCGUAGGGAUGGUGGGCUAAGAAGGAGGAACGGACUACCCGAGUUAGCAGCGUGCUGGUGGACCAUUUGGACAGCUAGGAACGACGCUAUCUUUCGCGGCAUACAGUUCGACCCUGUAAUUGUGGUGCGCAGGCUCAAGUUCCUGAUUGUCUCUUGGAUUGACCUCCCAUAGUAGUCACUUUUUUUCUUUUUUUCUUUUUUUUUCUUUUUUUUUUUUUUUCGUGUUCACGAGGCCCUCGUUGCCUCACUCCUGUAGCCUAAUUCGCUCUUUCAAUGAAUGAAGCAGGUAGCGUGCUACCUAUUCUCAAAAAAAAAAAAACAUUUAUAACCCUGUUCCUGAAAACCUAAAGAAGAAUGCAAAAAAGGAAACGCAACAUAUAUGGUUUGUGCAAUUGUGCGUAGGGAUGCCAAUGUGUAUGGAUGCCCGAAAUUUUAUUCGAAUCCGACCCCGAAUGGAGCGAGUUUAUUCGAUACUAAAUGAAUAUGGUUUCGGAUAUAGAUAUCAAAAAUAAAAAUCCAACGGAUAUGGAUACGGAUAUAGAGUUUGACUGCACCCGACCCGAACCUGAACCUGACCUGAACCCGAAUUUAUUUUACAUUAUAUAUAAUAUGUAUAUAAAAAUUUGAUGUUAUAUUUGAAUUUGUAUUUUAAAAAAUUAGAUUUAAUGUAAUAUAUUUUGAAAUAUUAAAAAGAGAAAUAAUUGUUUCGAGUUCGAAUUCGAGUUUCGGAUUUUUGGUCGGAUUCGGGUUUGGACAUGGAUUUUUAAAAUCUGUCGGAUUCGGGUUCGGAUUUUGGGUUUGCACUACAACAGAAUUAGGUUAUAGGGACACAUGUUUGGGACACUUUUGAGUAAGUGUCUCAUUUAUGCUAAAACUUAAAAACACAUCUACUAAUGCCUAAAUAUAAAGCCCAAUCCAACCAAAAAUAAAAGAUUACUCUACUCAACCUACCACACCCAGUCUAUUUGGCCCGAUUACAAACAGCAAAGAAAAAAAAAAAAAAAUCAAUUACCAUCUUUUCUUCUCUCUUCACUCAAUCCACUGAAAUUCUAGACGAAGAGCCUUUACUGUCGUCCCCCUCCGCCACCGCAGCCAACGAGAUAUAGUUUCGGCGGUUGCUAAAUGAUUAAAUAAGUGUUGGUAAAUUAGCAGCACUCUUUUAGGUUAUAGCGACACUCUUUAACUGUCACUAUAUACCUAACGACCCCACAUAUAGCAACACUUUUUAAAAGUGUCGGUAAUUUUAGCUAGCAGCACUUUUUUGACAUGUACCUAUAUUUAAAAGUGUCACUAUAGACCGUUUUUGUUGUAGUGUUGGAGUCGGGUUCGGAAUUUUGAAAAUCCGCCCUAAAUCCGAUUGGUUGACAUCCCUAUUUGUGAGUGGUGCUAGUGUGAAAAAAG